ACUCCUACGGGAGGCAGCAGUAGGGAAUCUUCCACAAGGGACGCAAGUCUGAUGGAGCAACGCCGCGUGAGUGAAGAAGGGUUUCGACUCGUAAAGCUCUGUUGUUAAAGAAGAACGUGGGUGAGAGUAACUGUUCACCCAGUGACGGUAUUUAACCAGAAAGCCACGGCUAACUACGUGCCAGCAGCCGCGGUAAUACGUAGGUGGCAAGCGUUAUCCGGAUUUAUUGGGCGUAAAGCGAGCGCAGGCGGUCUUUUAAGUCUAAUGUGAAAGCCUUCGGCUCAACCGAAGAAGUGCAUUGGAAACUGGGAGACUUGAGUGCAGAAGAGGACAGUGGAACUCCAUGUGUAGCGGUGAAAUGCGUAGAUAUAUGGAAGAACACCAGUGGCGAAGGCGGCUGUCUGGUCUGUAACUGACGCUGAGGCUCGAAAGCAUGGGUAGCGAACAGGAUUAGAUACCCUGGUAGGAUAGCG
rnacentral:rRNA from 1 species